rnacentral:rRNA from 1 species
UACGAAGGGUGCAAGCGUUACUCGGAAUUACUGGGCGUAAAGCGUGCGUAGGCGGUUUGUUAAGUCUGUCGUGAAAUCCCCGGGCUCAACCUAGGACCUGCAUUUGUGACUGCAUCGCUAGAGUACGGUAGAGGGGGAUGGAAUUCCGCGUGUAGCAGUGAAAUGCGUAGAUAUGCGGAGGAACACCGAUGGCGAAGGCAAUCCCCUGGACCUGUACUGACGCUCAUGCACGAAAGCGUGGGGAGCAAACAGG